rnacentral:rRNA from 1 species
CCAAAAGCAAAUUACCCACAUUUUUAACCCCUAAUAUACCAUAAACCAGAAGCUAAACCAUUUUUCCCCCUAAGUAUGGGAGACAGAAAAGGGAUUUCGUGAGCGAUAGAGAAAGUACCGCAAGGGAAAGCUGAAAGAGAAAUGAAAGAACCCAGCAUAAGCCUAAAAAAGCAGAGACUAACCCUCGUACCUUUUGCAUCAUGACUUAGCCAGCAUCACUCAAGCAUAAAGAACUUUAGUUUGACCCCCCGAGACUGGGUGAGCUACUCCAAGUCAGCCUGAUAAUAGGGCCAACCCGUCUCUGUAGCAAAAGAGUGGGAAGAACUUUGAGUAGAGGUGACAUACCUAUCGAACCCAGAAAUAGCUGGUUGCCUGCUAAAUGAAUAAGAGUUCAGCCUCUUCACUUCUUAAUUGAUUUACCCCCCCCACCUCCCCCCAUAAACCAUAGUAAGAAGUCCAGAGAGUUAGUCAAAGGAGGAACAGCCCCUUUGAAAUAAGACACAACUUUUUCAGGUGGUUAAAGAUCAUACAGAACAAAAGUAAAAUGUUUUGGUGGGCCUAAAAGCAGCCACCCACAUGGAAAGCGUCAAAGCUCAGACACAUCUCUUACUACCUAUUCUGAUAACCAAAUCUUACACCCCUAAGUUUACCAGGCCGCCCUAUGCAGACAUAGGCGUGACCAUGCUAACAUGAGUAAUUGGGGGGCCCCGGCCCCCUCCCUGCACACGCGUAAAUCGGAACGGACCUUCCACCGAACCUUAACGGCCCCAAGCAAAGAGGGAACUGAAUAUUAAACCAAACAACUAGAAAAUCAUUCAACCAUAGCCGUUAACCCCACACAGGUGUGCUCCGCGGAAAGACUAAAAGAAAAAGAAGGAAUUCGGCAAACACUUUAAGCCUCGCCUGUUUACCAAAAACACCGCCUCUUGUACUUAAUAAAUAAGAGGUCCCACCUGCCCACUGACUAUAUGUUUAACGGCCGCGGUAUUCUAACCGUGCGAAGGUAGCGUAAUCACUUGUCCUUUAAAUGGAGACCUGUAUGAAUGGCACGACGAGGGCUUAGCUGUCUCCUUUUUUAAGUCAAUGAAAUUGAUCUCCCCGUGCAGAAGCGGGGGUAAGAACAUAAGACGAGAAGACCCUGUGGAGCUUUAGACACUAAGACAGCCCAUGUGAUAAAGGCCCCCUUACAAAGGAUUGAACUGAGUGUGGACUGUCUUGACGUCUUCGGUUGGGGCGACCCCGAGGAAUAAAAUAACCCCCGGGUGGACUGAGGCACCACACCUUAAAACCAUGAGCCACCCCUCUAAUUAACAGAACUUCUGACCAAUUAGAUCCGGCAUAGCCGAUUAACGGACCAAGUUACCCCAGGGAUAACAGCGCAAUCCCCUUCUAGAGCCCAUAUCGACAAGGGGGCUUACGACCUCGAUGUUGGAUCAGGACAUCCUAAUGGUGUAACCGCUAUUAAGGGUUCGUUUGUUCAACGAUUAAAGUCCUACGUGAUCUGAGUUCAGACCGGAGCAAUCCAGGUCAGUUUCUAUCUAUGUAAUGGUUUUUUCCAGUACGAAAGGACAAGAAAAACGAGGCCCAUGCUUCAUGCACGCCUCCUCCUUACUAAUGAAAGCAACUAAAUUAGACAAAAGGACAUUUUUCCCAGCCUUAGACCAAGGCAC